GACGAACGCUGGCGGCGUGCUUAACACAUGCAAGUCGAGCGGUAAGGCCCUUUCGGGGGUACACGAGCGGCGAACGGGUGAGUAACACGUGGGUGACCUGCCCUCAGCUCUGGGAUAAGCCUGGGAAACUGGGUCUAAUACUGGAUAUGACUCCACGGUGCAUGUCGUGGGGUGGAAAGCCUUGUGCGGCUGAGGAUGGGCCCGCGGCCUAUCAGCUUGUUGGUGGGGUGANGGCCUACCAAGGCGACGACGGGUAGCCGGCCUGAGAGGGCGACCGGCCACACUGGGACUGAGACACGGCCCAGACUCCUACGGGAGGCAGCAGUGGGGAAUCUUGCGCAAUGGGCGAAAGACCUGACGCAGCGACGCCGCGUGAGGGAUGACGGCCUGGUU
rnacentral:rRNA from 1 species